rnacentral:misc_RNA from 1 species
GACGGAGGGCGCAAGCGUUGUUCGGUAUCACUGGGCGUAAAGCGCGCGCAGGCGGGUGCGGAAGUCGGGGGUGAAAGGCCGUGGCUCAACCCUGGCAGGUUCUUUCGAUACUCCGUGCCUAGGGACCGGUAGAGGCCAGUAGAAUUCCCGGAGUAGCGGUGGAAUGCGUAGAUAUCGGGAAGAACACCAGAGGCGAAGGCGACUGGCUGGGCCGGAUCCGACGCUCAGGCGCGAAAGCGUGGGGAGCAAACAGG